CACACAUGAAAUACAUGAAGACGUGUAAUGAACAUAAAGUGGAAAUAAAAUCCAGUAUGUGAGAUAAAAUCUGAAGAAUAAAACUAAUUCACGAUGGUAAUCAACUGGUGUAAAUAAGAUUAAAAACCAGUAAGAAGAUCAUAAACGAUGUGUGGAGUCAGUGAGGUUUGAACCCGCGGCUGCUGCAGAGGGUCCCGGUCUCCUGUGUGCCGGUAGGGGGCGGUGUGGAGCAGUAACAUGGCGCUGUGAGUGUGGCUGAAAUCAGCGAGAAUCAACCCGAUCAACACCGGAGAUGUUUGCUCUUCGCCGCCGGUGAGAGAGGAUCGUCCGGAGGCGAGUGUCGCUGGUGUCUGCGCGGCUCCGGACAGUCUCCACGGUGCCGGGCCCGCUCGGCGGACAUUGGGAUUCGAUACCGCGAGACCUGAGACCAGCUUCCCGGGUUCAGUGCGCCGCCUGUCCGCCUCCGCCACCGGGGCAGAGAGUCCCGCAGCCAGGCAGGGAACCUGCUCUACACAUGAGGAGGCACCAGAUCAGACAGCGACAGCACAAGAAACCCAGAGCUGAUGGAGUCCACUGACCCUGGACCAGGGCAAGAGAAGCCAUCAGUGCAGAAUCAGGAACUAACCCCCAGCUCAAGAGGACGGCAACGGAAGAAAAAUUCCAAAUAUGCUGAUUUUGAAACUGAUGAUAAGUCAACUGGGCCAAAAACACCUAGAAAGCGCUCGGGGGGAGGAAGGACACCUUCUAAAACAUCUCCGGCAAAGAGUGAAGAUGCUAAAAAUGCGACACAACCUCCUGCAGAUAAAGAAAAAGAAGCAACAGACACAGCAGCUCAAGAGUCUGAUGGAAAAACCUCAGAGGAAUCUCCGAAAAAGGCGGCGAGAGCCAAGAGGACCCCGUCAAAACAGACUCCCGCAAAAAAGACUCCCGCGAAAAAGACUCCCGCAAAACAGACUCCCGCAAAACAGACUCCCGCAAAACAGACUCCUCAGAAAC